rnacentral:rRNA from 1 species
AGAGUUUGAUCAUGGCUCAGAUUGAACGCUGGCGGCAGGCCUAACACAUGCAAGUCGAACGGUAACAGGAAGCAGCUUGCUGCUUUGCUGACGAGUGGCGGACGGGUGAGUAAUGUCUGGGAAACUGCCUGAUGGAGGGGGAUAACUACUGGAAACGGUGGCUAAUACCGCAUAACGUCGCAAGACCAAAGAGGGGGACCUUCGGGCCUCUUGCCAUCAGAUGUGCCCAGAUGGGAUUAGCUAGUUGGUGAGGUAACGGCUCACCAAGGCGACGAUCCCUAGCUGGUCUGAGAGGAUGACCAGCCACACUGGAACUGAGACACGGUCCAGACUCCUACGGGAGGCAGCAGUGGGGAAUAUUGCACAAUGGGCGCAAGCCUGAUGCAGCCAUGCCGCGUGUAUGAAGAAGGCCUUCGGGUUGUAAAGUACUUUCAGCGGGGAGGAAGGUGUUGUGGUUAAUAACCACAGCAAUUGACGUUACCCGCAGAAGAAGCACCGGCUAACUCCGUGCCAGCAGCCGCGGUAAUACGGAGGGUGCAAGCGUUAAUCGGAAUUACUGGGCGUAAAGCGCACGCAGGCGGUCUGUCAAGUCGGAUGUGAAAUCCCCGGGCUCAACCUGGGAACUGCAUUCGAAACUGGCAGGCUUGAGUCUUGUAGAGGGGGGUAGAAUUCCAGGUGUAGCGGUGAAAUGCGUAGAGAUCUGGAGGAAUACCGGUGGCGAAGGCGGCCCCCUGGACAAAGACUGACGCUCAGGUGCGAAAGCGUGGGGAGCAAACAGGAUUAGAUACCCUGGUAGUCCACGCCGUAAACGAUGUCUACUUGGAGGUUGUGCCCUUGAGGCGUGGCUUCCGGAGCUAACGCGUUAAGUAGACCGCCUGGGGAGUACGGCCGCAAGGUUAAAACUCAAAUGAAUUGACGGGGGCCCGCACAAGCGGUGGAGCAUGUGGUUUAAUUCGAUGCAACGCGAAGAACCUUACCUGGUCUUGACAUCCAC